GAUUAAGAUGAAAUACAAGAUGUAGUCCGUCAGAGCUCUGCUUUUUUACAUUACUGUUUUACAUUUCAUUUCAAUAAACCUUGAAUCCUUUCAUGGUAUCAGAGCCAUGGUCACAUUCUUGUGGCUGUGUGCUUCGAUUGCUUCCGCGUUUUUAGUUUUCAUAGCCUUCUUUUCAGUUUUCCCCAAUAUCAAAACCCUAGCCUCAUGCCUUCCAAAUUCAGACCCGUGCAGUCCUUAGAUCGAAAAUCGGUCAUUGAUGGAGACCAUCUCGGUUGUUUUCCGGCCUCAUCGGCGCACCUCUGUUCGCGACUUUGGAGUUUUGGUCCUCGACUUCGUCGUGGUCUAUUCUGAUCUUAUUCUUCGAUCUGCAAUCUAUGGGCUCAAAUUUUGGAGUUUGGGUCGUAUGCAAAGCUUUGAGGAGUCAAUUCAAGUGUAGAGAGGAGUUAAGUUAGUUAUGAGCUGCUAGAGUGCAUAUGCAUUUUCAAUAUUAAGUCAGAUUCUUAAGUUUGGAUUGUGUUGCCGAUAUAUAAAUAUGGGAGCUGCUGGUAAUAUUCUGAUGGAAUGCUAAGUAUAUUGAGGCCAUAUAUCAAUUGGAUUUGCAAGUGUGUAGUGCCUAUAAAAGUUGAUGCAUUAAGUGACAUAUGCAGUUUAUUAGUAUACAAUUGAAGGAAAAGAUGUAGUUUUUUUUUUCCAGCAAAUGAAGCUUUUCAAUGUGUUAAAAAUAUGAAGUUUUCAGAUUUGGACUUUUAGUUAUACAUCUUUGCUGCUAUGUGUUGCCAAGGAUGCUUCAUGUAUUGUUGCACUAUUUUCCAUGUGAACUGUGAAAUUUUCCAGCAAGCUCUCUUAUCCUCCUUUGAUAGCCGAAUGUCAAGAUGGAUGCUCUUUUGAUAUCAAGUAGUUGGGUUUUUGAUUUGGGUUAAUAGUUUUGUAAUGGAUUCUACAUCUGUAUUUUUUGGUUGUUUGCUUUGUGCCAACCAUUAUGCUUAGCCAAGCAUAUGGUUGAGGGAGGGUGUUAAGAGUAUAAGGGUAGUUCGGUCAUUUGUAUAGAAUCCCUACCUAUAAAAG